rnacentral:rRNA from 1 species
CCCCAGCGCCACAAGUGGUUAUCACGAUUAUUGGGCCUAAAGCGUUCGUAGCCGGUUUGGUAAAUCUCUUGUGAAAUUGUUUCGGCUUAACCGGACAGCGUGCAGGAGACACUGCCAGACUCGAGACCGGGAGGGGUUAGAAGUAUUCCAUGGGGACUGGUAAAAUGGGAUAAUCCAUGGAAGACUACCGAUGGCGAAGGCAUCUAACCAGAACGGAUCUGACGGUGAGGAACGAAAGCCAGGGGAGCGAACCGG